rnacentral:rRNA from 1 species
AGUGAGGAAUAUUGGACAAUGGAUGGAAAUCUGAUCCAGCCAUGCCGCGUGAAGGAAUACGGUCCUAUGGAUUUUAAACUUCUUUUGUAUGGGAGCAAUAAGGUCUACGUGUAGACCGAUGAGAUUACCAUACGAAUAAGCAUCGGCUAACUCCGUGCCAGCAGCCGCGGUAAUACGGAGGAUGCGAGCGUUAUCCGGAUUUAUUGGGUUUAAAGGGUGCGUAGGCUGUGAUGUAAGUCAGUGGUGAAAUGUGCCGGCUUAACCGGUAAACUGCCGUUGAUACUGCAUUGCUGGAAUACGGUUGCCGUGGGAGGAAUGUGUAGUGUAGCGGUGAAAUGCAUAGAUAUUACACAGAACACCGAUUGCGAAGGCAUCUCACGAAGCCGCGAUUGACGCUGAUGCACGAAAGUGCGGGGAUCAAACAGGAUUA